CGUUGAAGUACCUACCUAUAAGCUGCGCAGGCAAAUCCACGCGGCUUGGGGAAAUACGAUAGUACUCGGAGUCUUCGGACAAAGAGAUAGUGCGCCUAAGGGCUUCCAAGAAAAACCUCUAAACUUCAGGUAAUUAGUACCCGUACCGCAAACCGACACAGGUAGUCGAGGAGAGAAUCCUAAGGUGCUUGAGAGAUUCAUGGCUAAGGAAUUAGGCAAAAUAGACCCGUAACUUCGGGAGAAGGGUCGCCAGCAGCAAUGCUGGCCGCAGUGAAGAGGUCCAGGCGACUGUUUAUCAAAAACACAGGGCUCUGCAAAAUCGUAAGAUGAAGUAUAGGGCCUGACACCUGCCCGGUGCUGGAAGGUUAAGAGGAGAUGUUAUCUUCGGAGAAGCGUUGAAUUGAAGCCCCAGUAAACGGCGGCCGUAACGAUAACGGUCCUAAGGUAGCGAAAUUCCUUGUCGGGUAAGUUCCGACCUGCACGAAUGGUGUAACGAUCUGGACACUGUCUCAGCCAUGAGCUCGGUGAAAUUGUAGUAACGGUGAAGAUGCCGUUUACCCGCAGUGGGACGAAAAGACCCUGUGCACCUUUACUAUAGCUUAGUAUUGACCUUGGAUAAAUGAUGUGUAGGAUAGGUUGGAGACUGUGAAGUGGCGUCGCCAGGCGUUGUGGAGUCAUUGUUGAAAUACUACCCUUUGUUUAUCUGAGGCCUAACCCCGCGCUGCGGGGGACAUUGCUUGGUGGGUAGUUUGACUGGGGUGGUCGCCUCCAAAAGAGUAACGGAGGCUUCUAAAGGUUCCCUCAGUACGCUUGGUAACCGUGCGUAGAGUGCAAUGGCAUAAGGGAGCUUGACUGAGAGACAUACAGGUCGAUCAGGUACGAAAGUAGAGCAUAGUGAUCCGGUGGUUCCGCAUGGAAGGGCCAUCGCUCAAAGGAUAAAAGGUACGCCGGGGAUAACAGGCUGAUCUCCCCCAAGAGCUCAUAUCGACGGGGGGGUUUGGCACCUCGAUGUCGGCUCGUCACAUCCUGGGGCUGGAGAAGGUCCCAAGGGUUGGGCUGUUCGCCCAUUAAAGUGGCACGCGAGCUGGGUUCAGAACGUCGUGAGACAGUUCGGUCUCUAUCUACUGUGGGCGCAAGAAAUUUGAGUGGAUCUGAUUCUAGUACGAGAGGACCGAAUUGGACUAACCGCUGGUGUAUCUGUUGUUCCGCCAGGAGCAUCGCAGAGUAGCUACGUUGGGAAGGGAUAAGCGCUGAAAGCAUAUAAGCGCGAAACCCACCACAAGAUGAGAUUUCUUUUAAGGGUCGUGGGAGAUGACCACGUUGAUAGGCUAUAGAUGUAAAGGCAGUAAUGUCAUAGUCGAGUAGUACUAAUAACCCGAAAU
rnacentral:rRNA from 1 species